rfam:Triticum aestivum genome assembly, contig: Triticum_aestivum_CS42_TGACv1_scaffold_603537_7DL
AUUAUACUCCCUCCGUCCCAAAAUUCUGGUCUUAGAUUCGUCUAGAUACGGAUGUAUUUAAUACUAAAAUGUGACUUGAUACAUCCGUAUUUAAACAAAUCUAAGACAAGAAUUUUGGGACGGAGGGGUAGUCU